GAUGAAGAACGUAGCGAAAUGCGAUAAGUAAUGUGAAUUGCAGAAUUCAGUGAAUCAUCGAAUCUUUGAACGCACAUUGCGCCCCCUGGUAUUCCAUGGGGCAUGCCUGUUCGAGCGUCAUUUGUACCUUCAAGCUCUGCUUGGUGUUGGGUGUUUGUCUCGCCUCUGCGUGUAGACUCGCCUCAAAACAAUUGGCAGCCGGCGUAUUGAUUUCGGAGCGCAGUACAUCUCGCGCUUUGCACUCAUAACGACGACGUCCAAAAGUACAUUUUUACACUCUUGACCUCGGAUCAGGUAGGGAUACCCGCUGAACUUAAGCAUAUCAAUAAGCGGAGGA
rnacentral:misc_RNA from 1 species